CCCUGAACUUUAAGUUCUGGAAGGGUUGUUAUAGACGAUGACGUUGAUAGGCAGGGUGUGGAAGCGUUGUAAGGCGUUAAGCUAACCUGUACUAAUUGCCCGAGAGGCUUAACCAUACAACACCCAAGAAGCUUU
rnacentral:rRNA from 1 species